rnacentral:rRNA from 1 species
UACGAAGGGGGCUAGCGUUGUUCGGAAUUACUGGGCGUAAAGGGCUCGUAGGUGGCCAACUAAGUCAGACGUGAAAUCCCCAGGCUCAACCUGGGAACUGCGUCUGAUACUGGUUGGCUUGAAUCCGGGAGAGGGAUGCAGAAUUCCAGGUGUAGCGGUGAAAUGCGUAGAUAUCUGGAGGAAUACCGGUGGCGAAGGCGGCAUCCUGGACCGGCAUUGACGCUGAGGAGCGAAAGCUAGGGGAGCAAACGGG